rnacentral:rRNA from 1 species
UGGGGAAUAUUGCACAAUGGGCGGAAGCCUGAUGCAGCGACGCCGCGUGGGGGAUGAAGGCCUUCGAGUUGUAAACUCCUUUCGACAGGGACGAAGCUUUUGUGACGGUACCUGUAUAAGAAGCACCGGCUAACUACGUGCCAGCAGCCGCGGUAAUACGUAGGGUGCGAGCGUUGUCCGGAAUUACUGGGCGUAAAGAGCUCGUAGGUGGUUUGUCGCGUCGUCUGUGAAAUUCCGGGGCUUAACUCCGGGCGUGCAGGCGAUACGGGCUGACUUGAGUGCUGUAGGGGAGACUGGAAUUCCUGGUGUAGCGGUGAAAUGCGCAGAUAUCAGGAGGAACACCGAUGGCGAAGGCAGGUCUCUGGGCAGUAACUGACGCUGAGGAGCGAAAGCAUGGGUAGCGAACAGG